GGUCGUGUGAUGUAGUGGUCGAAGCAUUCCAGAUUUUGAUUCUGGCUACCUGGGUUCGAAUCCCAGCAUGACCA
rnacentral:tRNA from 2 species